CACGUAGGCGGGCUGUCAAGUCGGCCGUGAAAGGCACGGGCUCAACCUGUGCAUGUCGGUCGAUACUGGCGGUCUGGAGUAUGGGAGAGGGAACUGGAAUUCCCGGUGUAGCGGUGAAAUGCGUAGAUAUCGGGGGGAACACCAGUGGCGAAGGCGGGUUCCUGGCCCAUGACUGACGCUGAGGUGCGAAAGCCGGGGGAGCGAACGG
rnacentral:rRNA from 1 species